UACUAUGGAGAGUUUGAUCCUGGCUCAGGAUGAACGCUAGCGGCAGGCCUAAUACAUGCAAGACGAACGGUAACUUGAAUAGCAAUAUUUGAGCAAGAGUGUCGUAAGGGUGCGUAACACGUAUGCAAUCUGCCC
rnacentral:rRNA from 1 species